rnacentral:tRNA from 1 species
GGAGGCGUCGCAUAGUGGUCUAGUGCACCGUCUUGGAAAGGCGGCAAGGUGAAAGCCUUCGAGGGUUCAAAUCCCUCCGCCUCCG